rnacentral:rRNA from 1 species
GAGAACGCUGGCGGCGUGCUUAACACAUGCAAGUCGAACGAAUCUUUAUGGUUAGUGGCGAACGGGUGAGUAACACGUGAGUAACCUGCCCCCUUCUUUGGGAUAACGUCGGGAAAUCGGCGCUAAUACCGAAUACUCUGGCCCUUCCGCAUGGCGGGGUUUGGAAAGUUUUCGGUGGGGGAUGGGCUCGCGGCCUAUCAGCUUGUUGGUGGGGUAACGGGCCUACCAAGGCGGUGACGGGUAGCCGGCCUGAGAGGGUGUCCGGCCACACUGGGACUGAGACACGGCCCAGACUCCUACGGGAGGCAGCAGUGGGGAAUAUUGCACAAUGGGCGAAAGCCUGAUGCAGCGACGCCGCGUGAGGGAUGACGGCCUUCGGGUUGUAAACCUCUUUCAGUAGGGAAGAAGCGAAAGUGACGGUACCUGCAGAAGAAGCGCCGGCUAACUACGUG